rnacentral:rRNA from 1 species
AAGAGUGGCGAACGGGUGAGUAACACGUGGGAAACCUACCUCUUAGCAGGGGAUAACAUUUGGAAACAGAUGCUAAUACCGUAUAACAAUGACAACCGCAUGGUUGUUAUUUAAAAGAUGGUUCUGCUAUCACUAAGAGAUGGUCCCGCGGUGCAUUAGCUAGUUGGUAAGGUAAUGGCUUACCAAGGCGAUGAUGCAUAGCCGAGUUGAGAGACUGAUCGGCCACAAUGGGACUGAGACACGGCCCAUACUCCUACGGGAGGCAGCAGUAGGGAAUCUUCCACAAUGGGCGAAAGCCUGAUGGAGCAACGCCGCGUGUGUGAUGAAGGGUUUCGGCUCGUAAAACACUGUUGUAAGAGAAGAAUGACAUUGAGAGUAACUGUUCAAUGUGUGACGGUAUCUUACCAGAAAGGAACGGCUAAAUACGUGCCAGCAGCCGCGGUAAUACGUAUGUUCCAAGCGUUAUCCGGAUUUAUUGGGCGUAAAGCGAGCGCAGACGGUUAUUUAAGUCUGAAGUGAAAGCCCUCAGCUCAACUGAGGAAUUGCUUUGGAAACUGGAUGACUUGAGUGCAGUAGAGGAAAGUGGAACUCCAUGUGUAGCGGUGAAAUGCGUAGAUAUAUGGAAGAACACCAGUGGCGAAGGCGGCUUUCUGGACUGUAACUGACGUUGAGGCUCGAAUGUGUGGGUAGCAAACAGGUA